GACGAACGCUGGCGGCGUGCUUAACACAUGCAAGUCGAACGGGUCUGCCCUGUUUUUUGCGGGGUGGGUCAGUGGCGAACGGGUGAGUAACACAUGAGUAACCUGCCCCUCACUUCUGGAUAACCGCUUGAAAGGGUGGCUAAUACGGGGUGUUCUGGCUGUGCCGCAUGGUGUGGCUGGGAAAGAUUCACUUUUGUGGUGUUUUGGUGGGGGAUGGGCUCGCGGCCUAUCAGCUUGUUGGUGGGGUGAUGGCCUGCCAAGGCUUUGACGGGUAGCCGGCCUGAGAGGGUGGGCGGUCACACUGGGACUGAGAUACGGCCCAGACUCCUGCGGGAGGCAGCAGUGGGGGGUAUUGCACAAUGGGCGGAAGCCUGAUGCAGCGACGUCGCGUGAGGGAUGGAGGCCUUCGGGUUGUGAACCUCUUUCGCCGGUGAAGAAGGUCCUGCUCUUUGUGGUGGGGUUGACGGUAGCCGGGUUAUGAAGCGCCGGCUAACUACGUG
rnacentral:rRNA from 1 species